CAACGGUUGGAGCGGCGAAACAAAGCGGAUAUAAUAUGACGCGAAGAAAACAGACCAUGGCGAAUCAUUUUAUCUACAAAGAAAAUCUGACCAUGUUUAGGCUAGCAGAGAUCGCUUAGCUGCGUCUGAUUGCGGCCCCUUUGCGUGGUCACGCACGUCCGUGCACGUGCGUCAAAACCAUGAAGCAAUGGAGCGCCACUUGCCCCCGAGGAUCUGGGAGCUCUGGACACGGUUCAGACGGUGGAGCCGCGGAGGCAGACAGCGGUGGCAGCCGGAGGGGGAAGUUGCUGUGCACGGUCGUCCACCUAGGCGUUGGAGGACUCGCUUUGAGCGAGCCACUUCCCACGUUCAGGAAGUUGGGCCCCCCACCUCUGGCAUUGAGGUACCCCGCUUUGACCUGCCUUCUUACUUAGAUGUUCGACUUCCUCUUUACACUGAUCUCUUUCCUCCUCAUUCUCCUCCACGCUUUCCUGUUCCUUCUGCUAUUCCUUCCUCACCUCCUCCUCCCUAUUCUCCUCCACACUCUCCUGUUCCUUCUUCUGUUCCUUCCACACCCCCUCCUCCUUAUUCUCCUGUUCCUUCUCGCUCUUUUGCUGCUCCUCAUUCUCCUCCACGCUCUCCUGUUCGUCCUUCUUCUGUUCCUUCCACACCCCCUCCUCCUUAUUCUCCUGUUCCUUCUCGCUCUUUUGCUCCUCCUCAUUCUCCUCCACGCUCUCCUGUUCGUCCUUCUUCUGUUCCUUCCACACCCCCUCCUCCUUAUUCUCCUGUUCCCUCUUGCUCUCCGGCUCCUCCUCUUUCUCCUCCAUGCUCUUUUGCUCCUUCUUCUUCUAUUCCACCUUCACCCACUGCUCCUUCCCCUCUGGUUCCACCUAUUGUGGCUCCUUCUGAGCUGCCCUGUGUUCCCGAUGCUGGCCUUCCCCUGUCUCCUGUUAUUCAGGACUCAGGCUCCACAGUGGAAGGGACCAGUGAGGACUUAGCGGUUGGGGAAACCAACGAGGCUCCUAGCAGCGGCAGCAGCAGCAGCACACCUGGUAGAGGUAGGGAGGACAGUGAUGAGGAGGGGGCUGCUCCCAAAAGACCAUGUUUUACUGUGAGACACUGUGUCACACAGUAA
rnacentral:lncRNA from 1 species